ensembl:misc_RNA 7SK 7SK RNA
GGGUAUGUAAGAGCGAUCUGGAUGAUCUGGCUGGCUAGGCGGGUGUCCCCUUUUUCCCUCAUCACUCCAUGUGUGUCCCUCCCGAAGCUGCGCAUUUGGUCAAAGAGGAUGACCAUCCCCGAUAGAGGACUGUUCUUUGGUCAUGGGUGUAUGAGUAGCUGCGCUCCCAUUAGAACCUCCAAACAAGCUCUCAAAAGGAAGGGAGACUGACCUAGGGGGGAAUGAAUCAAGAACUGUGGGGCAACAACCUCGAAAAUGAAAAAUCUAUAGU